UACGGGGGGAGCAAGCGUUGUUCGGAAUUACUGGGCGUAAGGGGCGCGUAGGCGGUGUGUCAAGUCAGGCGUGAAAGCCCCGGGCUCAACCUGGGAACAGCGCUUGAGACUGGCACGCUCGAGUUCGGGAGAGGAUGGUGGAAUUCCCAGUGUAGAGGUGAAAUUCGUAGAUAUUGGGAAGAACACCGAUGGCGAAGGCAGCCAUCUGGACCGACACUGACGCUGAGGCGCGAAAGCGUGGGGAGCAAACAGG
rnacentral:rRNA from 1 species